CAACCUGCCGCUUACUCGGGGAUAGCCUUUCGAAAGAAAGAUUAAUACCCGAUGGUAUAAAGAGUUCGCAUGUUCUCUUUAUUAAAGAAUUUCGGUAAGCGAUGGGGAUGCGUUCCAUUAGAUUGUUGGCGGGGUAACGGCCCACCAAGUCUACGAUGGAUAGGGGUUCUGAGAGGAAGGUCCCCCACAUUGGAACUGAGACACGGUCCAAACUCCUACGGGGGGCAGCAGUGAGGAAUAUUGGUCAAUGGACGAGAGUCUGAACCAGCCAAGUAGCGUGAAGGAUGACUGCCCUAUGGGUUGUAAACUUCUUUUAUAAGGGAAUAAAGUGAGGGACGUGUCCCUUUUUGUAUGUACCUUAUGAAUAAGGAUCGGCUAACUCCGUGCCAGCAGUCGCGGUAAUACGGAGGAUCCAAGCGUUAUCCGGAUUUAUUGGGUUUAAAGGGAGCGUAGGUUGACAUAUAAGUCAGCUGUGAAAGUUUACGGCUCAACCGUGAAAUUGCAGUUGAUACUGUAUGUCUUGAGUGUACAAGAGGUGGGCGGAAUUCGUGGUGUAGCGGUGAAAUGCUUAGAUAUCACGAAGAACUCCGAUUG
rnacentral:rRNA from 1 species